GGAGGAGUGCCGGAGUGGCCGAUCGGGAUUGUCUUGAAAACAAUUGAGGCCGUAAGGCCUCCGAAGGUUCGAAUCCUUCCUCCUCCG
rnacentral:tRNA from 1 species